rnacentral:sRNA from 1 species
UUCUCAAUUUAUCAGGGUCCAGCAACAAAAACCCCGACUUUCGGGGUUUUUUGUUAUCUGAAUUUUUCGUUUGAAAUUCAGGUGCUUGCUUGGAAUUUAAAUUGGGCUCUAUGCCCUUUUUUU